CAUGGGGCUGGCAGCAGCCGCUUUGAAUCCUGAAUGUCGUGACAGUAAUGAUAACAGUAAUAAUGAUAACAGCAAUGAUGAAGUCUCACAUUUAAAAUUUUCAAGUCACUCAUCACAUCCCAACUCACUCCCUUCAUUACCUUUUUUUCUACUGGAGUCUUCCUGUGUGCCUCAGUCAGACCAUUUUGUAUGUACAAUGACCUACAAUGAGAUUUAACAUGCUGUUUGCAGAUCCUCCUUUCUCUGGGUCACCCGAAAAUAAGCCACAAACAAAGGAAUGAAAUUGUCGAUGAAAAGGGAAGAGGCAGGACUCCAUAUGAAGACUACCAUUGACUCACCUGUUUGUGCUUGCCUCUGUGUGUGUUUUAUAUUGGUGCUGGUGAUGAUAGUUCUUUAUGCUGAUGCAUAAUAAGGUGAAAUGUGUCUGUCUAUUUUCUUCCAUUGGCCCAGGCACAGAUGCCAUUAUAAUUGCUAAGAUUAUUUGCAUAUUGGCUUUUAAUGAUGCAUUUAAAAAUAUUCUUCCCAUUUACUGACUUAUGCAGACAAUGUACUUUUGUAAAUGUGGGUCAGCAUCAUGCUUAAAUUCCCAAACUACUAUUUAUUUAAAACUCAUCACUUCAGUUUUUAUACCCUUUCUCCCCCAUAAGGGAAAAAAUAUGAUCUGACUGUAUAAGCACCAACUAAACAGAACACAAAACGUGCCAGAUGAUAAAAACAUAUUUUCACAAAUGAGACAUGUCAUUUUACCAUCGAGGAGAGAAACAAAAUAAGCUGGUCUUCAAGCUCCAUAUCUUGUGUGCUCCUUUCAGCUAAAUGCCCUUACAUUUGUAAGCCCUUGGUACAGGUUAAGGCUUUUAUUAUUAUUUUAAAGUCUUCAUAACUACAACCUAGCAUCCAAAGUGAAAAAGAUGCUAUUGGAUAUGAAAAGCAUAUGCAAUGGAAAUAUUGACAUUGCCUUCCCAACAGUCAUGAGGGAUAGACCAUAGGCUUUUUGGUAACCUAUAUUUUCUAGGCCCAAAGCAGGGAAUGAGAUGGCAGGGAAUUCAUGGUAAAUUCCAAAUUUACAUAAAGUUAUAGAAGAAUAUAGACCAUGAGUAGUGGCUAGCACCUUCCUGACUUCCAGAAAAUGGCGGUGCCGAUAUUGAGCUUUUAGUCUUUGAACAACAGUUUGGAGAAAAUGUAAAAUGAAAAUUUGUUAAGGAACUUGUUUUUAAAAAGCACCUAGACUCCAUAUGAGUACUUGUCCUGUGUUAUUUUCAUAAACUACAUUUGUGAUUGAU
rnacentral:lncRNA from 1 species